CAGUCGCCACGGUAAUACGAAGGGUGCAAGCGUUACUCGGAAUUACUGGGCGUAAAGCGUGCGUAGGUGGUGGUUUAAGUCCGUUGUGAAAGCCCUGGGCUCAACCUGGGAAUUGCAGUGGAUACUGGGUCACUAGAGUGUGGUAGAGGAUAGUGGAAUUUCCGGUGUAGCAGUGAAAUGCGUAGAGAUCGGAAGGAACAUCUGUGGCGAAGGCGACUAUCUGGGCCAACACUGACACUGAGGCACGAAAGCGUGGGGAGCAAACAGGAUUAGAUACCCCGGUAGUCCCUGUCUCUUAUAA
rnacentral:rRNA from 1 species